rnacentral:misc_RNA from 1 species
AAAGAAAAAGUCAGUCUUUGAAAAAAGCUCUCCGAGACAAUAUGUAUUCUUGGGGUCGUGCUCUUGUGAAUGAACAUAUAACAGAUAUUCAAAGUAAAAACCUUCAACUGGUAAGUUUUGAUGCUGAGUGGAAGGAUGUAUAUUUGGGUACAGUGAACGGUGACUCAUUCAAAGGGAUUUGCUCUGACCUUAAUUUGAAUAAAAAUAUUUGCUGCAAUGCGAAAACAGCCCUUUUUGAAAAAUUUGGAAAAGACUUUCCAAAUUUAUACAUAUCAGCCUCAAAGUGGUGUCCCCUAGAUAAAUGUACAGCUCUUAUCAUAGGUUGUCAAUAUGGGAUUCUAUUCUUCACAUGGAACGGUAUGAACCUAUUUCAUUACUACGAUUUCCAACAAAAUGGUAUUGGUGUUGAUUACCGAUUGGCUACAGGCUCAAUGACAAAGGGAAUAGCUGCAAUUGGAUCAGAUAAUGUUACAGUAGGGACUCAUACUGGAACAAUUCUUCUUUUUCGAGUGAGAGCUAAAGAAGAUGACUCAAACUUGGAAUGUAUAUUGAUUGAUACACGUAGAGUUCAUGAAAAACCAAUUACGGAACUCGCUUCCACACGGAUAAAUUCCAUAGAUAUUCUUGCUUCAGGAGAUGAGGAGGGUGAAAUCCAUUUAUGGCAUUUGAAAAAAAUGGACAAAAAUGCUCCUGGUCCAAUUUUGGAUCACUUGACAGCAGUAGAGUCUCCUUCAUCAAAAGUUUCCAAAGGUUAUCCCGUAACAGCCAUGUGCAUAUGGAAUAAAAUUCCACGAGGAAUUCUUAUUGCCGCAUAUGGAUCAGGGACAAUAAAAAUAUUUGGACUUGCAGGUAACAUUAUUGCCCAAAUCAACGCACACUCAGGCUGGAUCACAGCAUUAGAUUUGGCUACACGAUCCGGAAUUCUUGUAUCAACCGGAGAGGAUUGUUUUAUCAAGAGAGAAGAGUCAAAAUCAGAAGGCAAAAGAGGUUUAUUCAAGGCAUCAUAUUCAGUUAUGUUAGCAAAAUAAUUACAUUGAACUCUAUUUUUAUUAUAUUCAAGAUAAAUGACAAAUUAAGAUCUUAUUUUUGGUUUAUGAUUUUCAAAUGAGCAGUUCAUAUUUAGUUCAUUAUAUCCAAUAUUGCAAUUAGUUCAAUAAUCCUCUAGCUUUAAAAGAGUUAUAAAUGGAGAAAUGGUUGUAACUUUGGUGAGAAUUUUUCUUUCGUUGUUCAAGACGGGGUCCAAAGUUUUCAUUGGAACAAUUCUAUAGUAAAUACUCACCUGUUCGUUGGAUAUUUUAUGAAAACACCAGCUUAUAACAUAUUAACUUUGUAGUGAUAUCUGAGUGUAACACUUAAGAUACUGUGAGCGUCCAUUUAUAUCUCAAAAAAUUUAUCAAAUUUGUUAAAGAAACCUUGCCAUACAUUAAUUACAUAAAAUAUUUUUCGGACGGAUGUGCAGGACAAAUAAUAGAAUUGUAAGAAAUUCUUAGACCUUUGCUACCACUAAGAAGAUUUUGGAAUCUCAGUUUUGCAACAAGUCACGGAUAAGGGCCAUGCGAUGGUUUAGGAGGUAUGGGAACUAUCGACAACUGGACGUGUUGUACAGCACAAAUUUGCAAAAAUGGUUGAGACACUAGUUACCGGAGUUAAGUUCAUGAGCCCAAUUGGAUCUUCCUUCGCAAUAUCCAGCUACAAUACAAAUAUAAUUCAAAU